AUUGAACGCUGGCGGCAGGCUUAACACGUUCAAGUCGAGCGGGGGAAGGUAGCUUGCUACCGGACCUAGCGGCGGACGGGUGAGUAAUGCUUAGGAAUCUGCCUAUUAGUGGGGGACAACAUCUCGAAAGGGAUGCUAAUACCGCAUACGUCCUACGGGAGACAGCAGGGGAUCUUCGGACCCUGCGCUCAUAGAUGAGCCUAAGUCGGAUUAGCUAGUUGGUGGGGUAAAGGCCUACCAAGGCGACGAUCUGUAGCGUGUCUGAGAGGAUGAUCCGCCCCACUAUGAGUAAGACACAGUCCGUACUCCUACGCGAGGCAGCAUUGGUGAAUAUUUGUCAAUGAGGGGAACCCUGAUCCAGUCGUGCCGCGUGUGUAAAGUGGGCCUUAUGUUUGUACAGCACUUUAAGCGAUGAUGAGGCUAUUUUAGUUAAUGCCUUGAUGUAGUGGACGUUACUCGCAGAAUAUGCGCCGACUAACGCUGUGCCAGCCGCCGCAGUAA
rnacentral:rRNA from 1 species